AUGGCAGAGCCGCCGCCGCCCCCGUCGCAGUCGCCGGCGCCCACGCAGCAGCAGACGCCCGCGGCAACCGCGCGGGAUGAAAUGAUGGCGUGCGUGGCUGCGCUGGAGGCGGCGCUGCUGCCGUGCCUCCCCGCGCGCGAGCUGCAGGCCGUCGACCGCUCCCUCCAGUCCUCCCACCAGAUUGAUGUCGAGAGGCACGCCAGGGAUUUCAUGGAGGCAGCCAAGAAGCUUCAGUCUUGCUUCAUCGACAUGCAGCGCGAGGACCAACCAACAAACGAAGAACUGCUUCGUAAGGAGAUUACUACAAUGGAGGAAGAACUGAAGACUAGGUCUGAGCUCAUUGCCAAGCACAAGAGUCUCAUUGAAGGGUGGCAGAAAGAACUAAAGGACCAGCUGGGCAAGCACAACACUGAGCUCGAAAGAGUUUGA
rnacentral:rRNA from 1 species